rnacentral:lncRNA from 10 species
GUGGGCGCCUAUAAUCCCAGCCACUCGGGAGGCUGAGGCAGGAGAAUGGCGUGACCCCUGAAGGCGGAGCUUGCAGUGAGCUGAGAUCGUGCCACUGCACUCCAGCCUGGGCAAUACAGCAAGACUCUGUCUUAAAAAAAAUUAUUUUAAAAAGAUCAACUGAUCUUUAUGAACUAUCUUUUUUCCCCACUCUCUGUUGUUGGAGGGAAGAAAACUUCAAAGUCAACAUUAUUAAGAACCAUUAUGAUGAAGAUUUUAUAAAAAGCUCAGAUUUGGCCAGGCACGGUGGCUCAUGCCUGUAAUCCCAGCACUUUGGGGGUCUGAGGCAGGUGGAUCACUUGAGGUCAGGAGUUUGAGACCAGCCUGGCCAACCAAUGGUGGAACCCCAUCUUUACUAACAAUACAAGGAUUAGUUGGGCUUGGUGGCACAUGCUUGUAAUCCUAGCUACUUGGGAGAUUGAGGCGGGAGAAUUGCUUAAAUCUAGGAGGUGGAGGCUGCAGUGAGCCAAGAUCGAGCCACUGCACUCCAGCCUGGGUAACAGAGCCAGACUCUGUCUCAAACACAAAAACACAAACAAAACAGUUUACCUUGGGUGAGGUAUGGUGAGAUUAGAUGCAGCACAGGAGUUACAAACCAGUUUUACAGUUUUUGUUUUUGUUUUUUGUUUGAGACAGUCUUUUACUCCGUCACCCAGGCUGGAGAGUAGUGGAGCUCCAGCCUCCCAGAGGAGGUUGCUCCUCCACCUCCCGGUUUCAAGCGAUUCUCCCUCCUCAGCCUCCCGAGUACCUGGGACUACAGGCGUGCGCGCCACUAUGCCCAGCUAAUUUUUGUAUUUUUAGUAGAGCCAGGGUUUCACCAUGUUGGCCAGGCUGGUCUUGAACUCUUGGCCUCAAGUGAUUGCCUGCUUCUGCCUCCCAAAGUGCUGGGAUUACAAGCGUGAGCCACCACGUUGGCCCAAGUUUUAGUUUUGUACUCUCAUUUCCCUGGGGCUUCACACAAGGCCACUCAGCAGGAGCAGAAGGGGUCACUAGGCAGAGGGAGUGAGGGGGGAACUGCAGAAGAGCCUUUGUUGUGGUUUUUGCAGGAAGAGAAGGGUUAGGCAAGGCCAACAGGUUUGGGAUUGGCUAAUUUGAGUAAUUUCCGGGGGCUCAGGGGCAUGGGGCUGGCCCUAGUUGUCUGGUAACUGGCCCUGGAGUGAUUACGGUGUAUAAUGGUCCCGAGUGUUUGAGCCUGAUAACAGAGGUGGUUGGGGGUGCAGACAUAAUCGGCAGCUCAAGAAGAGGAACUAACUGGCUUUUAGCCAGAGCCUAAAAUCUAAGUCAAGACAGCACACACCCACACACAAACUACGUUGCCUGAAACAAUAUUCUUUAAAGAUAUUUACCUAAAGGGCCACAAAUUUUAUUAAAUCUCUGAUCCUGAAACUUCAAUACUCCCCACUGACUAUAUAAAGUUAUCUUCAGGUUUUUUGUUGUUUUUUUUUUUUUUUUUUUUUUUGAGAAGGAGUCUCGCUCUGUGGCUCAGGCUGGAGUGCAGUAGAGCCAUCUCGGCUCACUGCAAACUCCACCUUCUGGGUUCAAGCAAUUCUUCUGCCUCAGCCUCCCGAGUAGGUGGGAUUACAGAUGUGUGCCACCACGCCCAGCUGAUUUUUCUAUUUUUAGUAGACACCGGGUUUCACUAUGUUGGCCAGGCUGGUCUUGAUCUCCUAACCUCAGGUGAUCCACCUGCCUCAAGCCUCCCAUAGUGCUGGGAUUACAGGCGUGAGCCACCGCACCCGGCCUGUAUUUUUAGUAGAGAAGGGGUUUCGUCAUGUUGGCCAGGCUGGUCUCAAACUCCUGACCUUAGGUGAUUCACCCUCCUCAGCCUCCCAAAGUGCUGGGAUUACAGGCAUGAGCCACUGUGCCUGACCAAUUUAGAAAUAUUUUAUCAUUCAAAAAUUAGGCGGCUUUCAGGGAUCAUUUCUAUAGUCUGCUACUAGAGUACUUUCUGUGAAAGUGUAGAGCCCCCGGAAACGACAGGAGGUGCAGUUUUCUCCUGAGUGUGAAGCCGGCGCUUGGUGUUGCUUUCGCCAUUGAGGUUUCUUCUCCUCCGUGGGGGAAUGAGAGGGAGAGGACACAGGCUGAAUGGUUUGAGUUACCAAAGUAAAAAAAUAUAUUUACAGUAAUGCUUUUUAAUUUUUAUUUAUUUAUUAUUCGAGACAGAAUCUUGCUCUGUCGCCCAGGCUGGAGUGCAGUGGCAUGAUCUCGGCUCACUGUGACCUCCGCCUCCCGGGUUUAAGCGAUUCUCCUGCCUCAACCUCUGGAGUAGCUGGGAUUACAGACGCGCACCACCACGCCUAAUUUUUUUUUUUUUUUUUGAGACGGAGUCUCGCUGUGUCACCCAGGCUGGAGAGCAGUGGUGCGAUCUUGGCUCACCGCAAGCUCCGCCUCCCGGGUUCACGCCAUUCUCCUGCCUCAG